CACGUAGGGGGCAAGCGUUGUCCGGAUUUAUUGGGCGUAAAGAGCUCGUAGGCGGCUCAGUAAGUCGGGUGUGAAACCUCCAGGCUCAACCUGGAGACGCCACUUGAUACUGUCGUGACUGGAGUCCGGUAGGGGAGCGUGGAAUUCCUGGUGUAGUGGUGAAAUGCGCAGAUAUCAGGAAGAACACCCAUGGCGAAGGCAGUUCUCUGGGACGGUACUGACGCUGAGACGCGAAAGCGUGGGGAGCGAACAGG
rnacentral:rRNA from 1 species